AUAUUUCAUACAUAGAAUAUUUAAAUAUUCUCUUCAUUUUUAUCUGUAAAAGGAAUUUAAAAAUUUGAAACAACUGAAUUUUUUAAUCAUAUUGCAUGAGCAUUUUAUAAUGAGAACAAUUUGGCAUCAAUCCAGAUAUGAAGCUGCUAGAGCGUUGAAGUUUAAAUACAGUCUUUAAUUAGAUAUACAUAUAUAUAUACAUGAGAUAUACAUGAUUAUAGUUUAUUUAUAUAAACUAAUAUUUAUAUAAACAAUAGUUAAUGUUUAAUAUAUCUAAUAAAAUAUAAUAUUUGGA